rnacentral:tRNA from 1 species
UGUGCUCGGCUGGGAUUCGAACCCAGAUCUCUUGUAUGCUAGACGAGCACUUCAUCCACUAAGAUACCGAGCC